CAUUAUGAGAGUUUCAGAUUUCCCUAGCUCUUGGUUAGCUCUUCAUUUAAUACCUGUUGGGCUCUCAUAAUUUUUUACAUAUAAUGCAUUUAUGUUCCUGGCUAAAGUAAAUUUUCCUCAUCCUUAAAAAUCAGGAUUGAUUGAAAAUUUGUUUUAAUGUUCUUUUUCUAAAGUUACCCAGAAAUCCAUACUGUUCAAAUGAAGGGAUGCCCUGUGGUUGCAGAUCGCCCAUCGUGACCUUACAGCCGCAGUGGGUGACAGCAAAACCGUGGUCACUCUGGAAAACAUUUCUGGUGUGUCUACUGGCCUGUCUAAUUGCUACGACCCUUGUGGUUCUGCUCUUUUAUUUUGUCCACUUUGGCAAGCCCACCAAUGGCACCACCGUCAUCAUUCAUGCAGACAGCCAUUCCAAUCAUGUCACCUGCAUCCCUGGUUCUUCCACAUCCUCUCUCUCAACAUCCUUAUCUGGAUCUCAGAGUACCUUACCUUCUAUUGCUGUGGCCAGUCAAAGCCCCUCUACCAAAGAGCCUCCACCUCCUAUGGAGACAACUAAAUCCACAACGUGGGAACAUGAAGUUAUCAUUGAAGAUAAAGAAUGACAUUUGGGGGGCUUUUAGCCCUCCUAAAGCCAAAGCAACACCCUUACCCUGAAAGAGACAUGUCCAAGGUAUUCUCUUCUCCUGCCAAGAGGUUCCAAAGCAUUUAGCACCAUGAGACUUUGCCCCCUUGCUUAGUCAUCGUUGUAUUCCCAUAUGAUAAUGACUCAGUCUUGGGCCCUCCAGUGUUUAAAUAAUUGGAAAAGAAAAUAUUCAGCUGAGCCUGGUUGAUUCUCCAGGCUGGAGUCCAGAGGAUUUUUUCUUUUCAUCCCUCCUACACAACCAAUCUCAAUUUCGCUAAUGAGGAUUUCGACUGCUUAAAGGGCUGUCUGCUUCCUGUGUGCUGGUUCUCAAGCCAGUAUUUACCACCUGGUUGUUGAUUAUUUUCCAAUUGCAUACACUUGAAUAUUUUCAACUAAAGAGGUUAAUGAACAUAAAUUAUUACAUAACUAUUGAUUAUUACGGAAGCAUUUUUCCUAUUGGAGAGUUCAGAAAAGAGGGCAGAUCAGUGAGGUUAGGUAUAAUCAAGGAAGAUUUCAGAGAAGGGCUGCAAGUUGAACAAGGGUGAAAGUUUAAGUCGAGAUAAUUAAAACAUAAAAUGUGAGGGCUAAGGGAUUUCAUAGAUUUAAAAUCAAAACACACUUAGAAACACUUCAAAUGUAACAAAUGAUGUAUUUUAUAUAUCUGUACUUUUUCACCAAUGUUAUCAAUAUUAUUUUCUAUACUUGAUAUUUUGCUUAAUCUCUUAAUUUUUUUUUUUUUUUUUUUUUUUUUGUCUUUUGACCUUUUAGGGCCUCACCUGCGGCAUACGGAGGUUCCCAGGCUAGGGGUCUAAUCAGAGCUGUUGCUAGCCUAUGGCCUAGACCACAAACACAGCAACACCAGGUCCCAGCCACAUUUGUGAACUAUCCCACAGCUCAUGGCAACGCCAGAUCCUUAACCCACUGAGCUAGGCCAGGGAUCGAACCUGCAACCUCAUGGUUCCUAGUCAGAUUUGUUUCUGCUGGGCCACGAUGGGAACUCCAUCUUAAUCUUAAUCUUAACUACUAUAAACUACUACUUAUAAACUUUUAAAUUGUUUUAUACUUUGGACUGUACUUUUGAGGGCACAUUGUUCAUACAUAAUUUGCUAUGAAACACCAGAUUUUUGUUCAAUGUUACUUCUGUGGGUUUAAUACUCACUAGAAGCAUAUGUAUUUUAUUCUGGAAAAGACUUUAGGGUUAAAUCAACUUGCCCAUUUCACCCUCAAAUUCAAAAUUCUACGAAAGAGUAAAACUAUUCCAGAGAAAGUCAAAGACUCAGACCUGUGUGUGGACACUGGAGCCUGGAUCUCCUGUGAAGGUAUCAUCUCACAACUGUUAGAAUGGCUGUUGUCAAGAAGCCAAAAGGUAGUCGGUAUUGGUGAGGACAUGGAGGAAAAGGAACCCUUGCCUAAUGUUAUUAGAGAUGGAAUUUAGUGCUGCCAUUAAAAACAAUAUGGAGGUUCCUCAUAUUGUUUGAGCCAUAACUACUGUAUGAUCCAGCAAUUCCACUUCUGGGUAUAUUUAUAAAGAAAAUGAAAAUAGGGUCACAAGGAGAUAUCUGCAUUUCCAUGUUCAUUGGAGCAUUAUCCCCAAUAACUAAAAUAUGGAAUCCACCUCAGUGUCUGUGAACAGAUGAAUGAUAAAGAAGAUGUGGUACAUACAUACAAUGGAAUAUUGUUCAGCCAAGAGAAAGAAAAAAAUCCUGCCAUUUGCAACAACAUGGAUGGAACUGGAAGGUGUUAUGGUAAGUGAAAUAAGCCAGACAGAGACAAUUAUUAUAUGAUCUCACUUAUAUGUGGAAUAUAGAAAGCUGAAAUCAGAAACAGAGAGUAAAAUAGUUGUUACCAGGUGCUGGGGAGUAGGAGGGAGUGUGGAAAAUGGAGAGAUAUUGGUCAAAGAGUAUAAACUUUAUAAGAUGAAUAAGGUCUGGGGAUCUCAUGUUCAGCAUGGUGAUUAUAGUUAAUAGUACUCUAUUAUAUACCUGAAAGUUGCUAAGAGAGUAGAUCUUAAAUGAUAGUUACAUAACAUGAAAUAUGUAUUAACUAAACUAUGAUGCUAAUUGUUUUGUAAUAUAUGUGUAUCAAAUUAACAUGUACAUCCUAAACUCACACAAUGUUAUUCAUCAAUUAUAUCUCAAUAAUGCUGCACAAAAUAAAUAAAAAAUAAAAUAAUUGUUCA
rnacentral:lncRNA from 1 species